rnacentral:rRNA from 1 species
AGUGAACGCUGGCGGUAGGCCUAAUACAUGCAAGUCGAACGGCCGCACAGUAAGAGCUUGCUCUUGCGGGUGGCGAGUGGCGGACGGGUGAGGAAUACAUCGGCAACUACUUUUUCGUGGGGGAUAUCGUAGGGACACUUACGCUAAUACCGCAUACGACCUACGGGUGAAAUCAGAGGAUCUUCGGACCUUGCGCGAUUGAAUGAGCCGAUGUCGGAUUAGCUAGUUGACGUGGUAAAGGCUCACCAAGGCGACGAUGCGUAGCUGAUCUGAGAGGAUGAUCGGCCACACUGGAACUGAGACACGGUCCAGACUCCUACGGGAGGCAGCAGUAGGGAAUAUUCGGCAAUGGGCGAAAGCCUGACCGAGCAAUACCGCGUGGGUGAUGAAGGUCUUCGGGUUGUAAAGCUCUUUUGUUAGGAAAGAAAAGCAGCGUAAGAAUCUGCCGAUAUCCUGACGGUACCCAAUGAGUAAGCCCCGGCUAACUUCGUG